CAACACGAACAGGGGAGCGCGCGGCGCUGAGAGUGCGGCGAUGAUGCCGCAGACCCUCCAACCUGAUCUGGGUAAUGCCAGCGCAGGGAGUUCGGGAGCUCCAGCC
rnacentral:ncRNA from 2 species